rnacentral:rRNA from 1 species
AUUGAACGCUGGCGGAAUGCUUUACACAUGCAAGUCGAACGGCAGCACGGGGGCAACCCUGGUGGCGAGGGGCGAACGGGGGAGUAAAACAUCGGACCUUGCCCAGCCGUGGGGGUUAACGUGGGGAAAGUUCGGCUAAUACCGCAUACGACCUACGGAGGAAAGGGGGGGACGGUAAGGCCCGCGGCGAUGGGAGCGGCCGAGAUCAGAUUAGGUAGUGGGUGGGGUAAAGGCCCACCAAGCCAAUGAUCUGUAGCUGGUCUGAGAGGACGACCAGCCACACUGGAACUGAGACACGGUCCAGACUCCUACGGGAGGCAGCAGUGGGGAAUUUUGGACGAUGGGCGAAAGCCUGAUCCAGCCAUUCCGCGUGCAGGAUGAAGGCCCUCGGGUUGUAAACUGCUUUUGUACAGAACGAAAAGGUUUCUACUAAUACUAGGAGCUCAUGACGGUACUGUAAGAAUAAGCACCGGCUAACUACGUGCCAGCAGCCGCGGUAA